AGUGAACGCUGGCGGUAGGCCUAACACAUGCAAGUCGAACGACAGCACAGUAAGAGCUUGCUCUUACGGGUGGCGAGUGGCGGACGGUUGAGGAAUACAUCGGAAUCUACUUUUUCGUGGGGGCUAACGUAGGGAAACUUACGCUAAUACCGCAUACGACCUACGGGUGAAAGCAGGGGAUCUUCGGACCUUGCGCGAUUGAAUGAGCCGAUGUCGGAUUAGCUAGUUGGCGGGGUAAAGGCCCACCAAGGCGACGAUCCGUAGCUGGUCUGAGAGGAUGAUCAGCCACACUGGAACUGAGACACGGUCCAGACUCCUACGGGAGGCAGCAGUGGGGAAUAUUGGACAAUGGGCGCAAGCCUGAUCCAGCCAUACCGCGUGGGUGAAGAAGGCCUUCGGGUUGUAAAGCCCUUUUGUUGGGAAAGAAAAGCAGCAGGUUAAUACCCCGCUGUUCUGACGGUACCCAAAGAAUAAGCACCGGCUAACUUCGUG
rnacentral:rRNA from 1 species